rnacentral:rRNA from 1 species
GUGCCAGCAGCCGCGGUAAAACGUAGGGGACGAGCGUUAUCCGGAUUUACUGGGCGUAAAGCGCAUGUAGGUGGCGCGGAAAGUUGGACGUGAAAGCUCCCGGCUUAACUGGGAGAGGUCGUACAAAACUACCGAGCUUGAGGUUGGAAGAGGAGAGCGGAAUUCCCGGUGUAGUGGUGGAAUGCGUAGAUAUCGGGAGGAACACCAGUGGCGAAAGCGGCUCUCUGGUUCAAUACUGACACUGAGAUGCGAAAGCGUGGGGAGCGAACGGGAUUAGAUACCCUCGUAGUCC